AGGAGAGCUCCAGAGGACACUGUGAACGAUCUUGUGCAUUUUGGCAUAUGCUCAAGUCAAAAGCUAAAUCUCUACUACUUAAAAAGAAGGAACAUGUUCCCCCUUCUCCUCUAUUUUCGUCGUCCUUCUGAUCGUUCGCUGUUCUUUUUUAUCCCCUCCCGCAUCGCUUGCAUCCAAAAUCCAAAUGGGCCAAGCCAAACGGAUCUAGUAAGGAGUCCACUCCAUCCCAACCCCCCGACUCCCUUGCCCCCGCCGCCGAUGCAGGGAACGCCCGGCUUCUCAGCCAUCAUCGCGACGGCAACCUCUCCCAUGAUGACGGAGUGAUGGCCAUGAACCGGGCGCUGGACAUGGAGUGCAGUUGUCGGCUGGAUCCUGCUGCUCACCACAUCCCCGCUUGAGAUCUCGGUGCCCCUAGGUGGUCGUCGCCAAGGACAAGGUGGAUGCUAUGCGAAGAUGGCCAUUGGCCUCCACCCCCGCAGCUCAUCGACAAGGCCAAUGCGAGGGGGCGCUCAGCUUCUUCCUCACCCGCCUCACCUCCCAGUUCGCAGACUCCCAGGAGGCUUGGCGUAGGGCACUCACUGCGGUCGUCCGGAAGCAUCGGAGUGGUCGGAGGUCAGCCAGAGCAGGAAGAAGACUACGUCCUUCCUUGGCCGAGCGGGUGACGGCGAGUGAUCUGCGGAGGCCUCCGUCGGACUCCUGCGUGUGGUUGCGGACGGAGGCGUCGAGAGGGCUGAUACGCGUACAGCACGCGUCCGUUGGGAACCCCAAGAGGAGGGUGUGAUGCGUACAGCGGCAAGUUUUCCCUCAGUAUGAAACCAAGGUUUAAUCAAACCAGUAGGAGCCAAGAAGCACGUUGAAGGUUGAUGGCGGCGAGAUGUAGUGCGGCGCAACACCAGGGAUUCCGGCGCCAACGUGGAACCUGCACAACACAAACCAAGUACUUUGCCCCAACGAAACAGUGAGGUUGUCAAUCUCACCGGCUUGCUGUGACAAAGGAUUAGAUGUAUAGUGUGGAUGAUGAUUGUUUGCAGAAAACAGUAGAACAAGUAUUGCAGUAGAUUGUAUUUCAGUAUAGAGAAUUGGACCGGGAUCCACAGUUCACUA